GAUGAACGCUGGCGGCGUGCCUAAUACAUGCAAGUCGAGCGAAUGGAUUAAGAGCUUGCUCUUAUGAAGUUAGCGGCGGACGGGUGAGUAACACGUGGGUAACCUGCCCAUAAGACUGGGAUAACUCCGGGAAACCGGGGCUAAUACCGGAUAACAUUUUGAACCGCAUGGUUCGAAAUUGAAAGGCGGCUUCGGCUGUCACUUAUGGAUGGACCCGCGUCGCAUUAGCUAGUUGGUGAGGUAACGGCUCACCAAGGCAACGAUGCGUAGCCGACCUGAGAGGGGGCACGGCCACACUGGGACUGCGACACGGACCAGACUCCUACGGGAGGCAGCAGUAGGGAAUCUUCCGCAAUGGACGAAAGUCUGACGGAGCAACGCCGCGUGAGUGAUGAAGGCUUUCGGGUCGUAAAACUCUGUUGUUAGGGAAGAACAAGUGCUAGUUGAAUAAGCUGGCACCUUGACGGUACCUAACCAGAAAGCCACGGCUAACUACGUGCCAGCCGCCGCGGUAA
rnacentral:rRNA from 1 species